rnacentral:rRNA from 1 species
AGGACGAACGCUGGCGGCGUGCUUAACACAUGCAAGUCGAGCGGAAAGGCCCUUCGGGGUACUCGAGCGGCGAACGGGUGAGUAACACGUGAGUAAUCUGCCCCUAGCUCUGGGAUAGCUCCGGGAAACCGGGAUUAAUACCGGAUACGACCACCUUAGACAUCUUUUGUGGUGGAAAGAAUUUCGGCUAGGGAUGAGCUCGCGGCCUAUCAGCUUGUUGGUGGGGUAAUGGCCUACCAAGGCGACGACGGGUAGCCGGCCUGAGAGGGCGACCGGCCACGACUGGGACUGAGACACGGCCCAGACUCCUACGGGAGGCAGCAGUGGGGAUAUUGCGCAAUGGGCGAAAGCCUGACGCAGCGACGCCGCGUGGGGGAUGAAGGCCUUCGGGUUGUAAACCCCUUUCAGCAGGGACGAAGCGAAAGUGACGGUACCUGCAGAAGAAGCGCCGGCUAACUACGUGCCAGUAGCCGC